CGAGUGGCGGACGGGUGAGUAAUGUCUGGGAAACUGCCUGAUGGGGGGGGGUAACUACUGGAAACGGUAGCUAAUACCGCAUAACGUCGCAAGACCAAAGAGGGGGACCUUCGGGCCUCUUGCCAUCGGAUGUGCCCAGAUGGGAUUAGCUAGUAGGUGGGGUAACGGCUCACCUAGGCGACGAUCCCUAGCUGGUCUGAGAGGAUGACCAGCCACACUGGAACUGAGACACGGUCCAG
rnacentral:rRNA from 1 species